AACGAACGCUGGCGGCAGGCUUAACACAUGCAAGUCGAGCGCCCCGCAAGGGGAGCGGCAGACGGGUGAGUAACACGUGGGAAUCUACCCAUCCCUACGGAACAACUCCGGGAAACUGGAGCUAAUACCGUAUACGCCCUUCGGGGGAAAGAUUUAUCGGGGAUGGAUGAGCCCGCGUUGGAUUAGCUAGUUGGUGGGGUAAAGGCCUACCAAGGCGACGAUCCAUAGCUGGUCUGAGAGGAUGAUCAGCCACAUUGGGACUGAGACACGGCCCAAACUCCUACGGGAGGCAGCAGUGGGGAAUAUUGGACAAUGGGCGCAAGCCUGAUCCAGCCAUGCCGCGUGAGUGAUGAAGGCCUUAGGGUUGUAAAGCUCUUUCACCGAUGAAGAUAAUGACGGUAGUCGGAGAAGAAGCCCCGGCUAACUUCGUGCCAGCCGCCGCAGUAAAAC
rnacentral:rRNA from 1 species